GAUGAACGCUGGCGGCGUGCUUAACACAUGCAAGUCGAACGGAAAGGCCCAAGCUUGCUUGGGUACUCGAGUGGCGAACGGGUGAGUAACACGUGGGUGAUCUGCCCUGCACUUCGGGAUAAGCCUGGGAAACUGGGUCUAAUACCGGAUAGGACGAUGGUUUGGAUGCCAUUGUGGAAAGUUUUUUCGGUGUGGGAUGAGCUCGCGGCCUAUCAGCUUGUUGGUGGGGUAAUGGCCUACCAAGGCGUCGACGGGUAGCCGGCCUGAGAGGGUGUACGGCCACAUUGGGACUGAGAUACGGCCCAGACUCCUACGUGAGGCAGCAGUGGGGAAUAUUGCACAAUGGGCGCAAGCCUGAGGCAGCGACGCCGCGUGGGGGAUGACGGCCUUCGGGUUGUAAACUCCUUUCGCUAGGGACGAAGCGUUUUUGUGACGGUACCUGGAGAAGAAGCACCGGCUAACUACGUG
rnacentral:rRNA from 1 species